UACAGAGGUCUCAAACGUUGUUCGGAUUCAUUGGGCGUAAAGGGUGCGUAGGCGGCGCGGUAAGUCGGGUGUGAAAUCUCGGGGCUUAACUCCGAAACUGCAUUCGAUACUGCCGUGCUUGAGGACUGGAGAGGAGACUGGAAUUUACGGUGUAGCGGUGAAAUGCGUAGAUAUCGUAAGGAAGACCGGUGGCGAAGGCGGGUCUCUGGACAGUUCCUGACGCUGAGGCACGAAGGCCAGGGGAGCAAACGGG
rnacentral:rRNA from 1 species